GAUGAAGAACGCAGCGAAAUGCGAUAAGUAAUGCGAAUUGCAGAAUUUCCGUGAGUCAUCGAAUCUUUGAACGCACAUUGCGCCCACUGGUAUUCCGGUGGGCAUGCCUGUUCGAGCGUCAUUAUCCUCCCUCAAACCCCGGGUUUGGUGUUGGACCCAAGUUGUGUGAACAACUGGUCUCAAAGACAAUGACGGCGUCCGUGGGACCCUCGGUGCAACGAGCUUUUAGGAGCACGCAUCGAGUUGCAAGGACCUUCCGGGCCGGUCUCCUUUACCAUUUUACAAGGUUGACCUCGGAUCAGGUAGGAAUACCCGCUGAACUUAAGCAUAUCAAUAGCGGAGGA
rnacentral:misc_RNA from 1 species